UACGUAGGGUGCAAGCGUUGUCCGGAAUUAUUUGGGCGUAAAGAGCUCGUAGGCGGUUUGUCGCGUCUGCUGUGAAAACCCGAGGCUCAACCUCGGGCCUGCAGUGGGUACGGGCAGACUAGAGUGGCGGUAGGGGAGAUUGGAAUUCCUGGUGUAGCGGUGGAAUGCGCAGAUAUCAGGAGGAACACCAAUGGCGAAGGCAGAUCUCUGGGCCGUAACUGACGCUGAGGAGCGAAAGCUGGGGAGCGAACAGG
rnacentral:rRNA from 1 species